rnacentral:rRNA from 1 species
GACGAACGCUGGCGGCGUGCUUAACACAUGCAAGUCGAACGGAAAGGCCCUGCUUUUGUGGGGUGCUCGAGUGGCGAACGGGUGAGUAACACGUGAGUAACCUGCCCUUGACUUUGGGAUAACUUCAGGAAACUGGGGCUAAUACCGGAUAGGAGCUCCUGCUGCAUGGUGGGGGUUAGAAAUUUUCGGCGGUUGGGGAUGGACUCGCGGCUUAUCAGCUUGUUGGUGGGGUAGUGGCUUACCAAGGCUUUGACGGGUAGCCGGCCUGGGAGGGUGACCGGCGACAUUGGGACUGAGAUACGGACCAGACUCCUACGGGAGGCAGCAGUGGGGAAUAUUGCCCAAUGGGAGGAAGCCUGAUGCAGCAACGCCGGGUGCGGGAUGACGGCCUUCGGGUUGUAAACCGCUUUCGCUUGUGACGAAGCGUGAGUGACGGUAAUGGGUAAAGAAGCACCGGCUAACUACGUG